AAAUCAAUUUAUACUUAACUUACACAUGCAAGUUUCCGCACCCCUGUGAAAACGCCCUCUAUAUCCUUCUAGGAACGAGGAGCUGGUAUCAGGCACACUACCCUNGCCCAAAACACCUAGCUAUNGCCACACCCUCAAGGGACUUCAGCAGUGAUUAAUAUUGAACAUGAACGACAGUUCGAUUCAGUUAAAGUACGUANAAGCCGGCAAAUCUGGUGCCAGCCGCCGCGGUUACACCAAGAGGCUUAAGUUGAUUCCNAGUCGGCGUAAAGCGUGAUUAAAGUUUACAAAAAANUAAAGUUAAACUACAACCAAGCUGUAGCACNGCNUUUGUUUCNUAGGAGCCCCAAAAACGAAAGUUACUUUAGUCAAAACAACUUGAAUUCACGACAGCUGAGAAACAAACUGGGAUUAGAUACCCCACUAUGCUCAGCCGUAAACCUUAAANUUACACCCCCAUCGCCAGGGAACUACGAGCAAAGCUUAAAACCCAAAGGACUUGACGGUACCCCACAUCCAUCUAGAGGAGCCUGUCCUAUAAUCGAUAACCCCCGCUUAACCUCACCAUUUUUAGCCAGUCAGCCUGUAUACCUCCGUCGUCAGCUCACCGCGUGAGCGAGACUCAGUAAGCUUAAUGUCCACNNNNNNNNNNNNNNNNNGCGUCAACACGUCAGGUCAAGGUGCAGUAAAUGAAAUGGGAAGAGAUGGGCUACACUUUCUGCUANCAGAACAGANCGAAAAAUUAUUUAUGAAAUCUAGUUAGAAGGAGGAUUUAGCAGUAAAAAGAAAUCAGAAUGUUCUUUUUAACCCGGCACUGGGGNUAUGUACACACCGCCCGUCA
rnacentral:ncRNA from 1 species